CUGCAAUUAUGAGUAUGAACAUAGACAAAUAGAGUGUAGCUAAAAAUCACACUCACCUGUAGAACAGGGAGUCAAUUCAGUAAGUUCACAAUUUCCCUGGGCGGUUAUAUCCUUUCCCCAGUUCAGGGUAUGGGUUCUUUCUCUACUAAUAAUGUCCUGGUGUGUACUCCCCUACUGAUCUGACUCUAGCAGAUUCUCGAGAAGCCAAUUCUCUCUCUCGGUCUACUUUACCGACAAGAGCUCUGAAUGAAUGAGCAAUGAGUUUGAUUAUAGCUAUUCAAAGUUUCUUUGUUUAAUGUUGAGAUGCAUUCAAGUUCAGAUAUUCACGUAUUAUUAAAUCUAAAUGAUCUUAGUACAAGUUUAAUGGUUCUUUAGUAAUUUCUUGAUGGUAGUCUGAAAUUAUCCUGUGAGAAGUAUCCAUAGUUGAUAGUGGUUCGGAUGAGAUAUUAAAUAAAGAGAUGUGGUAUCAUGCAUUUCUUUCUUAAUCCAAAGAAAUGUCCUUUGAGUUACUUUUCUGCUGAUGGAUACCUCAAUAGGUGGUUCCAACAUUUAGAUGAGUCAUCUGCUUUUGAAGCAUGAUCAUCUUGACCUGUUUAGGAUCCCCAGACCCAUUUUUUUAAUCUGCACUGUCUUUAAUCUCUUGAUUGCUUCUCACCUUUGUCCUUUGUUUCAUUAAUUUUUGUCUCUGCAGCUUGUUAACUCCUCAGUCAAUGAAUUCUAACCCUUUUUUUUCCUUGCAUAUUGGCUAAUCCAGGAAAAACAACAAAUGUUCCAAGGGAAUUCCUCCUACAAAUCCUUGGAGAAGAUCGUGUAACUAAUUUUGUGAUACAAGAAAUAGUCGCCUCAACCAUGGCAGAUUAUGUGAAGAAGGAAAAUCUGAAGGUGAAGGAAAACAAAAUUAGCACCACUCAAAAGGCAGAAGAACUCAAGAAAGUGUUUGUACCUGGAAAUGAAUUUGGAUUUAAUGCUGUUCUAGAGCUUGAAAAACCUGAAGCUGAAACUGAGAAUGAAAAUGAAACUGAACCUGAACCUGAACCUGAAACAGCAAGUUAAAUUCACCAAUUUUGUAAAGCACUUGUACAAUGUGAUUAUUUUCAGAGUAAUCUAUUCAUUUGUAAUUGCUUUUAGACUA